rnacentral:rRNA from 1 species
GCUCAACUGUGGAGGGUCAUUGGAAACUGGGAAACUUGAGUGCAGAAGAGGAAAGUGGAAUUCCAUGUGUAGCGGUGAAAUGCGCAGAGAUAUGGAGGAACACCAGUGGCGAAGGCGACUUUUUGGUCUGUAACUGACGCUGAUGUGCGAAAGCGUGGGGAUCAAACAGGAUUAGAUACCCUGGUAGUCCACGCCGUAAACGAUGAGUGCUAAGUGUUAGGGGGUUUCCGCCCUUUAGUGCUGCAGCAAACGCAUUAAGCACUCCGCCUGGGGAGUACGGUCGCAAGACUGAAACUCAAAGGAAUUGACGGGGGCCCGCACAAGCGGUGGAGCAUGUGGUUUAAUUCGAAGCAACGCGAAGAACCUUACCAGGUCUUGACAUCCUCUGACAACCCUAGAGAUAGGGCUUCCCCUUCGGGGGCAGAGUGACAGGUGGUGCAUGGUUGUCGUCAGCUCGUGUCGUGAGAUGUUGGGUUAAGUCCCGCAACGAGCGCAACCCUUGAUCUUAGUUGCCAGCAUUCAGUUGGGCACUCUAAGGUGACUGCCGGUGACAAACCGGAGGAAGGUGGGGAUGACGUCAAAUCAUCAUGCCCCUUAUGACCUGGGCUACACACGUGCUACAAUGGGCAGAACAAAG